GACGAACGCUGGCGGCGUGCCUAAUACAUGCAAGUCGAACGCAGUGGGGACGGGUGAGUAACAAGUGGGUAACCUCGGAGCAGAGGGGAUAAAACUUGGAAACAGGUGCUAAACCGCUACUGAUGGAUGGACCCGCGGUGCAUUAGCUUGUUGGUGGGGUAACGGCGCACCAAGGCCACGAUGCCUAGCCGGCCGGAUAGGGUGAGCGGCCACACUGGAACUGAGACACGGCCCAGACUCCUACGGGAGGCAGCAGUAGGGAAUCUGCGGCAAUGGACGAAAGUCUGACCGAGCAACGCCGCGUGAGUGAAGAAGGUCUUCGGAUCGUAAAGUUCUGUUGUUAGAGAAGCGUUAUCUAAACAGAAAGCCACGGCUAACUACGUGCCAGCAGCCGCGGUAAUUC
rnacentral:rRNA from 1 species